ensembl:misc_RNA Metazoa_SRP Metazoan signal recognition particle RNA
ACUGGGCAUGAUGGCAUGUGCCUGUAGUUCCAGCUACUCAGGAGGCUAAGGAAGGAUCCCUUGAGCCCAGGAGUUCUGGGCUGUGGUGUGCUGUCGUUCAGUUGUCUACAAUACGCUUUGCUUCCUGGGUUCGGGGGACCACCAAGUUGCCUAAGCAGGGGUGAACCGGCACAAGUCAGAAACUCCCAUUAAAACAGGUUAAAACCCCCAUGCUGAUCAGUAGUGAGAUUGCACCUGUGAAUAGCCACUGCACUUCAGCCUGGGCAACAUAGUGAAACCCCACCUGU